CUUCCUGUAAUGGUGGAAACUACAUUUUUAAACACGCACAGACGCAUUUAUCAGCUUGUUGUUUUUUGCAUGAAUUUUCUAGGAGGAUUCAGUCGUGACCGUCUGUCUGGAUCACAGAGGUACUAAAAACAAGCGUCCCUCUAGCAUACGCGGAAGAACCUGCAGAUACUUCUGCCGCUGUGCUUCGGUGAUGGAUGCACUGCUCUAAUACUUUCACACAGAUUCACACACAGCACGCGUAGACGUGUGCAGCUUAAAACGUUUAUUUGUGCUGUAACAAGGAGCCGAAACCAGUGCGAGAUGGAGAGCUGCGACUUCCAGAGUCAGCUGCUGUCCGUCAUGGAAGUCCUGGCCAAGGCGGCUGUAGCUGAGAUAAACCGGCGUGUGGACCAGAGCUGCACGGUGCUCAGGCUGGAGGUGAGCCAGAGCCGGCGGGACAUCGACCUGCUGAAGAGCAAGUGUGAGGUGAUGGAGGCAGAGCUGAGGAAGAGCCGGAUGAGGGCCAGGAGAAAAGUGUUUAACAAUCCAUCAGCGGGGAGAUUCUCUCCUCUGGUCAAAGUAGUUCUCAACAAAGAAACUCAGAGCUCACAUUGGGACACACCGGUGGAAGCUCAGGCUCCAGAUCAACCCCAGCAGUGUGCUGAGGCCGUGGAGCUUGCUAAUGGGCCUGAUCACAUACGGAUCAAAGAGGAGUGUGCAGAAGAGGAUAUGUGGAAAAAUGAUGCAGAGGACAGACCGAGUGAGUCCACACCUUUAAUAGUGAAGAAAUAAAACAAUGUGAUGUUUAAGAGGGACUUUUCGUUCAAG
ensembl:lncRNA